AAAAAAAACAGUUAAUUUUGGCUUCCCCCCUUUUGCCUUUGUACAUUUCAUAAUUGUAAAAUUUCAAAACUGGAGGGUGUCCUAGAAAAAUUUUAAUUUGUACAAGGAAUUUUUGUGCACAAACCUAGAGAAAAAAAUACACAUUUGACUAAGGCCAAUAAAUGACAGCAUACAGUUGUAUUUCUAACAUGUUUGUAGGAAUGACAAUAUAAACAUUAACACUGAACUACAUGACAAAGUUCUGACAUUUCUUUCUAACAUGUUAACACUGUAAGAAUAGAAAUGAAUACAGCCCCAACAAUUGAAGUCUAUAAUUGAUACAGCUGAAUGCAUUAAAUCAGAAUAGAUACAGUUAGCAGCAAACAAGCUUUGAUGGAAGAAUACAUACAAGUUCAAAUUAUUUAUAUAUAAAUAUAUGUAUGCAUACAUUUUAUAAAUAGCACAGACAUCUAGCACAGCUAAACAAACACACAUAAAUAUGGGAGUUCUAAAAAAAAAGCAUGAAAAUAAUGAGUAAAAGUUUUGAAAUUUUGAGAAAUCAAGUUUGGGCUAUAUCAGUUUCACUUAAAAAAUCAACUACUACCAUGUUCACUUCAAAAACAACAAAUUGGACCUCCCACUGCAGUCACCUAAACGUCUUCAUUUCUAGUAUCUACUCUACACAAUAUUGUUAACAUUUCAAAACACUUUACGUACAACAAAAUGUAACUGUAAAAAAAAAAAAAAGUUCAAAGCACAACGUAGAGGGUCAGGAGGAGAUGAUCACAACACUUGACCAAUGGAAUGAUGGGAAGACAAAGUUCCAAUAGGAAAGAAAUUUGAAACAGAAAGAAUGUACAGAUAUAUAUACAAUGUAGGCUCAAUUCAGGAAUAGAAUGACACUGAAUAUAACAAAGUGAAACUUCAUUAUAUCAUAUUUAUUUUGAAUAGCCUCGUCAUUCACUGCUUUUGUUUAAUCCUAGCAUUGAUCUAGUAUUUAGUUGUCAAACCACUUGACAUUUGCCUUCAAAUUCUUUCCUAUUAAACUAAAAGAAAAAAAGCCACGACCAAAAUACUGUUAAUUUGAUUUAUAUCCAAAGUUUAUAAUAUCAUCUAGUUUAAAAAAAAAAAAAAAACUGGUGAGAAUUUCGACCUUCAUAGUUUCUCUAAUGCUAAACUAGUCAAGGCCAUUCUUAAAGUACAAUAGAAUGAGGUUUUAUCCUGCUGUGGUCUUUGAGUAUGUAACAAUUCACAUAUAACAUUUGACUGAGUAAAGCUCAAAAUAAUCUAGAUAGAUUUGAAGGAACUAUAGCUAAACAGCUUUAUAAUAAAUAAGCCAAUAACAUUGAACAAGCUAAGUUCACAAUUUUACAAAUACAAUAUGAAAUAUGGUGUGUUUUUUUUUCUGCAAACCCUGCAACUUUUUUUCACAAUUUUUUCUCUUAUAAGUUACAAAUUAAACCACAAGCAUACUUGUGCAUGCACACUUAAUAUUAAUUAACAUUAAUUAAUAAGUACAUGAGCUUUAUCUUCUACUAUAAAGUCACUGCUAUGAGAUACGGUAUAAAUAAAAAAUACACGCUUCUAAAAGUGAGAUAAUUUAAAAAGAACUUAUGGAAUAAAUGUUAGAAAGUAGUUGCAACAAACUAAAGUAAUAAAGCUAAGUUAACACUGGACGAUGUCAAAUAUUUUCAAUUAUGUAAACACUAGACUAGACUAGAGUCUAAUUGGUACACAAAAGUGUCGUUAAACUUUCUGGACAAUUAAGCAAACAAUGUUUCGAUAAUUUUAUCUUUAAUGCUAAUAUAUUCAUUUCUUGAAUGAAUAGGUUUAACCAGACUAAUAAUUAAGUUUUAUGAAUAGCUACACUAAAUUUUAAUAAUACCACAGUCUAAACUAUUUCUAUUAUCAUAAUUUGAUAACAAAACAUUGAACAAGUCACAAGAAAAUUUAAAAAAAAUUGAAACAGUGCACACAAACUAAAAGUCUUCAAUUUCCUAUUCUCUUUAGGUGGACACAGUCCAGCAAGGAAGAGUUACCUUCAAUCUUACACCAAUUUAAUGUCAUUUAAACACAGCAAAUAAGUGAACUAUGCGGGCAGUCAACGUUACAAAUAAAAAAAUUAUAGCAAGCAAGCAAUAAUGAAAAUGACUAUUUGUUUUAUAGCUAAUGCAAUGCAAGAUAAAAUUAAAUGAUUAACAUUAAAAAAAAUAGUUCAUAUUAAAGGUUUUAAUUUGCUAUAGUGACUUUAACUAAAAAAACAACAACUUUGGGCAAACUAAGUGUAUCUGUAUUAGCAUCAAUAGUCAAUAAACUCUAGAUUAAUUUUAAGUCAAAAUACUUUAUGACAGGCCAGAAACAAUCUCUAGUCCACAGUUUUGCCCACUAUAUGACCCCAAAACAUUCAAAAUUUUCUCUAGUCCACAGUUUUGCCCACUAUAUGACCCCAAAACAUUCAAAAUUUUAUCA